UGCAUAAAUGACUAAAAUGUUUUCUGAAAAAUAUCCUAUUUGACCAAGUUUUUUAAAAGUCAUUUAAACCAGUUGCUUAUUUUAGUAACACUAGAAUAUGGUAUCAUAAUAAAUUCCCUAUCAACGACACAUCUUUACUUCCACUUUCAUAUCUCUUUAUUUACAUUCGACGUACAAUUUGUAUUUACAUUCUUUGAUAUACGUAAACAUAUCUAUUAUUACCAUGAUCACCCAGAUAUAAAAAGCUCAGAUAACCCAAGCAUGUACAUAGCAUAGUAUUUACAUCAUCAAAUACUCCAUUAAAAAUGCCCAUACUUAAUAAGUUGUUAAAAUUAAUUCACAAAAUAGUAUACAUUACGUCGUGUGAUAUUAUUUUAAAAUCGAUUGUCAAUUACAGGUGUAAAGGUAGCAUCCACGGCUAUAAAUGAAUUGAUUUUCUGGAAAUGCAUUUCCUUCACAAUUAAUUAUUCCAAAUGACGGCUUGUCAGCACACUAAUGUUACUUCUCAAAAUAAAUAGUUAGGGUACCUGUUGGAUUACUCAGACUUGUUGAUCUAUCAGGAUUGUUUAUUGAGCGGAAUUGGUCGAAGACUAUUCUACGAAGCAAACUGCAGUUCAGUUUUGCAAAAAUGGACAAAGAGUUAGCAUGUGAUACAUUUCUCCACCAUAAAGGUGUCGAAAACAAAGAAGAUCUGUUGGGGUUUGGAGUUUCUGACAAUGUAAUUUUUGAGGAGAAAGUUAUGGCGGAUCUUCGUAACCUAAUUACAAAAUGGAAUCGGACUCGAACCAUUCUUUACGUUGGUGGGACAGUUCGCAAUGAUCCUGAAAAGCGAGCAGAAGAGCAUGAAAAAAAGAAAUUUCAUUCUAUCAAAUCAUUCUAUUACUGCCCUGUACCAGAUGUAAAAUCAGUAGAAACUGAGCUACUUCAACUACGCGGGGAUAUACUUAAGCAUAAUGUCCACAAGAAAAGCAACUGUAGGGCGGAACCUGGAGUCGUGUAUGUUUUAGACACUGGACUAAUAUCUGAGUAGCUUGGUUGAAAUAUAUCUCGAAUCUCUUUUACAGUACCCAGCAAUAGUAAAUCAUGUUAUGUUUAAAUAGAUUUUUAAUUAUAAACUUAUUAAUUAAGACUCAUAUUAGAGGGAACUCUGAAGCCGAUGUCAUCAGUCUAUAAUUGUAAUAACCCUUGAAAAAUGUGUAUGUUGAAUGAUGAUUGAAAAAUAUAUUAUAUGUAUAUGUUAGAUGGUAUAUCAAAUCGAUUAAAGACACCGUACAAUA